rnacentral:piRNA from 1 species
GAGGAAAGGUCUGGAGCCAGUGUAUUGCA